rnacentral:rRNA from 1 species
CUACGGGGCGCUCCAGUAGGGAAUCUUAGACAAUGGGGGAAACCCUGAUCUAGCCAUGCCGCGUGAGUGAUAAAGGCCUUAGGGUUGUAAAGCUCUUUCGCUGGGGAAGAUAAUGACGGUACCCAGUAAAGAAACCCCGGCUAACUCCGUGCCAGCAGCCGCGGUAAUACGGAGGGGGUUAGCGUUGUUCGGAACUACUGGGCGUAAAGCGCGCGUAGGCGGGCUAUUAAGUCAGGGGUGAAAUCCCGGGGCUCAACCCCGGAACUGCCUUUGAUACUGGUAGUCUUGAGUUCGAGAGAGGUGAGUGGAAUUCCGAGUGUAGAGGUGAAAUUCGUAGAUAUUCGGAGGAACAUCAGUGGCGAAGGCGACUCACUGGCUCGAUACUGACGCUGAGGUGCGAAAGUGUGGGGAGCAAACAGGAUUAGAUACCCCCGUAGUC